UGCCCCUGCAGCCCAUGGAAAUCUUUGGCAGCCUGUGGAGGAGCCCAAGCUGGAGCAGGUCAGUGUCCAAAGGGGGCUGUGACUCUGUGGGAAGACUGUGCUGGAGCAGGCUCUGGGCAGGACCUUGGCCCUGUGGACAGAGGAGCAGGUUUGCUGGCAGGACCUGUGACCCUCUCUGUGACCCAGCCUGGUGCAGCCCCUUCCUGAAGGCCUCCAGCCCUGUCGGAGAGACCCACUCUGGAGCAGUCUGUGAAGAACCCACACUGAAGCAGUUCAUGGGGGACUGUCUCCCCUGGGAGGGACCCCAUACUGGGGCAGGGGAAGGGUGUGAGGAGUCCAACACCUUUGGAGGAAGGAGUAGCAGAGACAAUGUGUGAUGAACUGACCACAGCCCCAUUCCCCUUCCCUCUGUGUCACUAGAUGGGAAGAGGUCAGGAAAAUCAAGAGUGAAAUCAGGCCCAGGGAAAGGGAGAGGGUGGAGCCAUGAAGUGGGAGCAUACACAAUUCAUCUGUGAUAUAAUUAUUUACCAUGGCAACAGUUUGUGAAUGGGAUUGUGAAGUUGCGAAUAACUAAAAAGAAGCUUAAGUAGAACAGACUGAAAAAAUUAUCCUUUUCUAAACAAGUGAAGAGUCCUUUGAGGUCGGGAAAGCUUUUGUCACUCCAAUAUGUUAAAACAGGAGGAGUUGAAAAGGAUAGUUUUGGGGCUUAUUUUUCCUCCUUUGUCAAAACCCUUGCUAAAAUCUGAUGAGCAAAUGAAGAUAAAUACUUUGAAUGUGUUUGUGUAUGUGCAAAUUUGUUUUGGUGUGUGUAUGUGUGACUGACAAUGAAGAACAUUUGAAUGGACUUGAAAUGACAAGCACUAAAUCUGACAUUGCCCAGCAAGAACGAGAAAAGCUUUGGAAGAUCAAAUAUUGAAAAAUGAUGAAAAAAAAAAGUUAUACUUGUGGUGGUUGGUUUUUUUCUUGUUAUAGUCCUGAGAUAAGCAGAUGGUUCAAACUGACACUGGUAUGCAAGACCUCUAAAUUUUAGAGUCAGAGGUAGAUAGAAAAAAUCUAUUGAAAACUAGUGGUAUAAUCUUUGUAUUUUGCUGAAGGCUGCUACCAGCAAAUCUCUCCCUACAACGCAUCCUAUUCAAUCAUGUAUUGAGUAUUUUAGCACUGCUGCUCUAGAAUCAAAGAAAUCUAUUGAUGUUCUUCAAAGGCACACUGAGCUGCAUAUGAAAAGAACAACGAUAACAACAAAAACUCAUCCAGAUGCACCAUGUUUUACAGUUUACCCACCUGGGAGUUAAGUUAGGUGCCAUAUUUACCCUAACUCACAUACAUAAUGAUUUAAGAAUCAGAAUAUUUCAGAGGAAUAGAUAAAAAGCCAUCAAUACAUUUCAUUGAAUGUUAAUUAAUCCAGGAACACUUUGAAAAGUCUCCUGCCUGGUUGGUGGCAUUGGGAUUUUUUAAUAUGUUUCUCCAGCUUCCCUUAAAAGUCAGUCUUGAUAUGCCUCCACCCUGCAGAAAUGUCCCACUUUAAGUGGCAGCUAAGGUGAGCCCCAAACAAUAGAGGUCUUUUCACUGACACCAGUGGAGUCAGGAUCACAGCCAGUGAAUGAACAUGGAAAGCAGCUGCAUAGAAAAACAUUUAUUUCCCCUGGUAAUCAUGAACAAUGAUUUUAUUUUUUUUUUUAAUGCUGAGUAAGUAUGUUAUCUUAAAUGAUACUACUUAAAAGGAUCCUUACAGAACCUUCUUGAGUUACAGAACCUUCUUGAGUCACAGAACAGAAGAAAAGGAAAAAGCACAUUGAUUCCAACUGUCCUGUCUGCUCUGAAAACAUCUGGAAACAAUCCUGAACAACCUGAAGCAGACGAAAAACAUAUCUUCCCCUGGUGAUGGAGCAUGUGAUGCUUGGUUUCCUGCAGUUUUGUGGCAUGCUGUUGGGCUUUCUGACAAGAGAUGAGUUCUGACUGAAGAUUUUUCUGAAUGUGGGACAUUAAUAAAAUUUGAAUUGAUUUUCUCAUGUCUCAAGAGGUUGUGGCAUCUGUAUAGCAUUUUCCUCUUCCUUAUAUCAUGGCAACAAGCAAGUUAACAAUUGAUUG